rnacentral:rRNA from 1 species
UACGGGGGGAGCAAGCGUUGUUCGGAUUUACUGGGCGUAAAGGGCGCGUAGGCGGUCGUGACAAGUCACUUGUGAAAUCUCCGGGCUUAACUCGGAACGGUCAAGUGAUACUGUCGGACUAGAGUACAGAAGGGGCAACUGGAAUUCUCGGUGUAGCGGUGAAAUGCGUAGAUAUCGAGAGGAACACCUGCGGCGAAGGCGGGUUGCUGGGCCGACACUGACGCUGAUGCGCGAAAGCUAGGGGAGCGAACGGG